AUUGAACGCUGGCGGCGUGCUUAACACAUGCAAGUCGAUCGGUAACAGGUGUAGCAAUACAUGCUGACGAGAGGCGGACGGGUGAGUAAUGCUUGGGAAUCUGCCUAUUAGUGGGGGACAACCCGGGGAAACUCGGGCUAAUACCGCAUACGCUCUACGGAGGAAAGCCGGGGACCGCAAGGCCUGGCGCUAAUAGAUGAGCCCAAGUCGGAUUAGCUAGUUGGUAGGGUAACGGCCUACCAAGGCGACAAUCCGUAGCUGGUCUGAGAGGACGACCAGCCACACCGGAACUGAGACACGGUCCGGACUCCUACGGGAGGCAGCAGUGGGGAAUAUUGGACAAUGGGGGCAACCCUGAUCCAGCGACGCCGCGUGGGUGAAGAAGGCCUGCGGGUUGUAAAGCCCUUUCGGUGGGGAAGAAAAGUCUCGACCUAAUACGUCGGGACCUUGACGUAACCCACUAAAGAAGCACCGGCUAACUCUGUGCCAGCCGCCGCUGUAAU
rnacentral:rRNA from 1 species